AUUCCAGGUUGAAAGGCAACAAAAUAGGAAAAAUGCCAAGGGAGGUGAAUACUUUCGCAAGCCACUGUAUUUCCCUUCCAAAAGGGUGGCUCAGGUUGUGAUGGGUUCAGGUGUUGUUGUCUAGGAGACCUGAGCCAGGUUGUGAUGGGUUCAGGUGUUGUCUAGGAGACCUGAGUCAGGUUGUGAUGGGUUCAGGUGUUGUUGUCUAGGAGACCUGAGCUUUGUUCCAGACAACUCAAACAUCUUCCUCUUGUCUUUAUCCAGGAUCAGUUAUCAGGUCUGUCUCUUCUCUCCGUGUUUCAUUGAUCUGUCUGUUUCUGUUUUUCAUUUUAAUAAUGCCAUGCUGUUUCAACUAGAAGAUAAGAUAUUAUAAGUUAAAUUAUAUAGUUUGAAAUCCGCUUCUUAAGUUGUUGCUGUAAAAUGAGGAGAUUUGAUGGAGCUGUGUGACUUUGUUUUGUAAAAACCUUGUGAAGAAAACAGAUUUCUGAACAGUAUUUUCUUAAACAUGAAUAAGAUUAUUUGCAUUCCAUGUAGAGUUUCCCAACAUGUUAAGACAACAGAAUCACAUGGUGUAUUAGUGGGCGAGUGUUUCAGAUCAUUCAUUUAGCUCCCCAGAUAAUACAUUCCCCCUCUGUAUUCCUGUUUUUAACACAAAUGUAUAAAGGUGGAACAAACCUUGGGUAUAAAUUGUUUUUAACACACAUGUAGAAAGGUGCAACUAACCAUUUGGUGUAAAGUGUUUUUUUGUAAUUUCAUAACUAGUUUGUUUCAUUUCACCGUUCUGAGUUCAGAUCCGUCUGUAACAUUCCACCACGUCAGCCCCCCCCCUCACCCACACUGCUUUAUUUUCUCUCUCUCUAUGUGCCUGACAGACUAUGCUGUCAAAGGUUUUCAAUAAACACGUUACAAAAGCA